UUUCAAAUAGUUUAAAAAAAAUUUUACCCUUUCAAAGUAAAGAUUCUAAAAAUAGAUUUGAAAA
rnacentral:tRNA from 1 species